GGAUUAAGCCAUGCAUGUGUAAGUAUAGUUAAUUUUACUUUGAAACUGCGAAUGGCUCAUUAUAUCAGUUAUAGUUUAUUAGAAAUACUUUACUACUUGGAUAACCGUAGUAAUUCUAGGGCUAAUACAUGAAUAAAUCCUCAACUUCGGAAGAGGUGUGUUUAUUAGUAUGAAAACCAUAUACUCUCGGAUAUAAUAGUGAGUAAUAAUAACCUUUCGUAUCGUAUGUCGUAAGAUAACGAUAGUUCUUUCAAGUUUCUGCCCUAUCAGCUUUCGAUGGUAGUAUAUGGGACUACCAUGGCAGUAACGGGUAACGAAGAAUUUGGGUUCGAUUUCGGAGAGGGAGCCUGAGAGAUGGCUACCACAUCCAAGGAAGGCAGCAGGCGCGUAAAUUACCCAAUCCUGACAUAGGGAGGUAGUGACAAUAAAUCACAAUCGCGAACUAUUUAGUUUUGCAAUUGGAUUGAGAACAAUGUACAAAUGUUAUCGAUAAACAAUUGGAGGGCAAGUCUGGUGCCAGCAGCCGCGGUAAUUCCAGCUCCAAUAGCGUAUAUUAACGUUGUUGCAAGUAAAAAAAGCUC
rnacentral:rRNA from 1 species